UCAAGUGACUAAGCGCAUACGGUGGAUGCCUUGGCAGUCAGAGGCGAUGAAGGACGUUGUAGCCUGCGAAAAGCUUCGGGGAGUCGGCAAACAGACUUUGAUCCGGAGAUAUCCGAAUGGGGAAACCCACCCAGUGUAAGCUGGGUAUCUUUAACUGAAUACAUAGGUUAGAGAAGCGAACGAGGGGAACUGAAACAUCUAAGUACCCUUAGGAAGAGAAAUCAAUUGAGAUUCCCUUAGUAGCGGCGAGCGAACGGGGAAGAGCCUGCAAGUAAUAGCAAGAAUGUUAGUGGAACGGUCUGGAAAGUCCGGCGAUAGAGGGUGAUAGCCCCGUACACGAAAAACCCCGGAGAGGGGAGUGAAAUAGAACCUGAAACCGUUUGCGUACAAGCAGUGGGAGCCCAGCACCUAAAUUUUUUUAGGUUUUGGUUUUUGUUGGCUUUAGUGAGUUGUUUUGUAAAUAUUGACGUUAUUCUGCUUAGGUGGAAUUCAGGUACUGGGUAAACCCGGUGCGUCAAACGCAUUGAGAAUGCGUUGUUCCAAUUUUGGAGAAUAAGGGGUGGGCUUGCCCAGCCUUAAAUUUCUCAAAGAGAAGCGUCAGUUUAGUAUUUAGAGCACAGCCAAGUAAGAAAGCAAAGUCAAAAUAGCCAAGAAAAUUUAGGGCUGGGUGACUGCGUACCUUUUGUAUAAUGGGUCAGCGACUUAUUGUCAGUAGCGAGCUUAACCGUUUAGGGGAGGCGUAGGGAAACCGAGUCUUAACAGGGCGCAUAGUUGCUGGCAAUAGACCCGAAACCGGGCGAUCUAUCCAUGGCCAGGUUGAAGGUGCCGUAACAGGCACUGGAGGACCGAACCCACUUAUGUUGAAAAAUGAGGGGAUGAGCUGUGGAUCGGAGUGAAAGGCUAAUCAAACCCAGGAGUACAAUCACGGCAGACAGACGGCGGGUGCUAACGUCCGUCGUCGAGAGGGCAACAACCCAGACCGCCAGCUAAGGUCCCAAAUACCAGUUAAGUGGGAAACGAUGUGGGAAGGCUUAGACAGCUAGGAGGUUGGCUUAGAAGCAGCCAUCCUUUAAAGAAAGCGUAAUAGCUCACUAGUCGAGUCGGCCUGCGCGGAAGAUGUAACGGGGCUAAACUGGUAACCGAAGCUGCGGGUUCAGAGGACUGAAUACAGAGGACAGAGGGCAGAUAGAAUGUGUUUUUAUCUGUCUUCAGUCUUCUGUCUUCAGUCUUCUGAACGGUAGAGGAGCGUUCUGUAAGCCGUUGAAGGUGAACCGGGAGGUUUGCUGGAGGUAUCAGAAGUGCGAAUGCUGACAUGAGUAACGAUAAGGGGGGUGAAAAACCUCCCCGCCGGAAGAUCAAGGUUUCCUGCGCAACGCUAAUCGGCGCAGGGUUAGUCGGCCCCUAAGGCGAGGCAGAAAUGCGUAGUCGAUGGGAAACAGGUUAACAUUCCUGUACUUUUUUAUAUUGCGAUGGGGGGACGGAGAAGGCUAAGCCAUCAGGGCGUUGGUUGUCCCUGUUUAAGGUUGUAGGCUGAGAGUUUAGGUAAAUCCGGACUCUUAAGGCCGAGAGCUGAUGACGAGUUCAAAGCGAGAGCUGCGAGCGAAGUGGUUGAUGCCAUGCUUCCAGGAAAAUCCUCUAAGCUUCAGAUAUAAAGGAACCGUACUGUAAACCGACACAGGUGAUCAGGUAGAGAAUACCAAGGCGCUUGAGAGAACUCGGGUGAAGGAACUAGGCAAAAUGGUACCGUAACUUCGGGAGAAGGUACGCCGCUUGGGGUGAUGAGACUUGCUCUCUAAGCUCUGGGCGGUCGAAGUGACCAGGUGGCUGCGACUGUUUAUUAAAAACAUAGCACUCUGCAAACACGUAAGUGGACGUAUAGGGUGUGACGCCUGCCCGGUGCCGGAAGGUUAAUUGAUGGGGUUACCCAGCACCUAAAUUUUUUCGCCUGUUGAAGUAUUUUUUAUUCUUUUAUCAGCGAGUUUGCGUUUGGUAUCUGAUUUCUAUUAAGGAAUUCAGGUGCUGGGCAAGCCCGGCUGGUUUUUAUAAGAUUAAUUAUGUUUUAUGUUUACUGUAUUCAGUCUUUGGAUGAUGAAAAUCGAUUUUAUAUUGGCAGUAGCAAUGACUUAAGACGCCGUCUUAAGCAGCACAAUGACAAUGAAAACCGAUCUACUAAAAAUCAUCAAUAGCGUGUGGUUUAUUACGAAGCGUAUGUGACCGAACACGCUGCCAGAGUCAGAGAGCAAAAACUGAAACAACACGGAAAUACAAAACAGGCAUUAAUGCGAAGAAUAAAAGCAAGCCUACAGCAAUGACUGUGGGACUUGUCCAGCUCUAAAUUUCCAUGCAAAGAGAUUUGGAGUGGCGGUAAGAAUAUGCUUUUAUAGAAUCGCUGGCAUUAAUGCGAAGAAUAAAAGCAAGCCUACAGCAAUGAUUGUGGGGCUUGCCCAGCUCUAAAUUUCCAUGCAAAGAAAUUUGGAGUGGCGGUAAGAAUAUGCUUUUAUAGAAUCGCAAGCAUUAGUAAAAGAGAAAAUUUAGGGCUGGGGAAGCUCUUGAUCGAAGCCCCGGUAAACGGCGGCCGUAACUAUAACGGUCCUAAGGUAGCGAAAUUCCUUGUCGGGUAAUGUAGGAUAGCUGGGAGGCUUUGAAGCGUACGCGCUAGCGUAUGUGGAGCCGUCCUUGAAAUACCAGCCUGGUAAUGUUGGGGUUCUAACUCAGGUCCGUUAUCCGGAUCGAGGACAGUGUGUGGUGGGUAGUUUGACUGGGGCGGUCUCCUCCCAAAGUGUAACGGAGGAGCACGAAGGUGCGCUAAUCAUGGUCGGAAAUCAUGAGGUUAGUGUAAAGGCACAAGCGCGCUUGACUGCGAGACUGACAAG
rnacentral:rRNA from 1 species